rnacentral:lncRNA from 1 species
GAGUCGUCCGGCACGAAGACGACCGUGGCUAUGGAGGCGACGAGCAGCGGCAGCGACAGCGAUGCGAGCACGGCCGGGGACACUGUGGCUGCGCUCUCGACGAGGCUGAGGAGUCCCAGGUCCUCGGCCUUGGAGAGCAGUCCGAGCUUCUCCAGCGAGGAGAGCGUGACGCCGAGCUCCUCCGCCUUGGACAGCAGCCCUGCCUUCUCGACGGUGCUCAGCACCUUGCGCUUCUCCAGCUUCUUGAACACGUCCACCGACGCCUCCUCGCUCCCCUCCGCGAAGAUCCCCGCGCCGAACCACUGCUUGGACCACCCAUCGUCG